AGCUCCAAUAGCGUAUAUUUAAGUUGUUGCAGUUAAAAAGCUCGUAGUUGGAUUUCGGGUGGGCGCUACCGGUCCGCCGAUCCGGUGUGCACUGGUCGCGCCCAUCUUGCUGCCGGGGACAGGCUGCUGGGCUUAACUGUCUGGCACCUGGAGUCGGCGAGGUUACUUUGAGUAAAUUAGAGUGUUCAAAGCAGGCCUACGCUCUGAAUACAUUAGCAUGGAAUAACACGAUAGGACUCUGGCCUAUCUCGUUGGUCUGUGGGACCGGAGUAAUGAUUAAGAGGGACAGUCGGGGGCAUUCGUAUUUCAUUGUCAGAGGUGAAAUUCUUGGAUUUAUGAAAGACGAACUUCUGCGAAAGCAUUUGCCAAGGAUGUUUUCA
rnacentral:rRNA from 1 species